rnacentral:pre_miRNA from 1 species
UAGGUAGUUUUAUGUUGUUGGGCAUUCACCUUUCUCUCUACAACAAGAAACUGCCUUAA